GUAUGGCCGCUAAGUCAACUCAGGACUCCCUACCCCGAGACACAGGGGAGCCCUCAGCACUGCCUGUACAAGGGAGGGCGGAGGGAAGGAGCAGUGAAGGACGGAAGGAACGCACUGCUGAGUGUGCUCUGCGUGGCAAGCAGGCUUCAGAGCCUGCUCUUCGCAAGAGGAACUUUCUGCCUGGCCCAAACAGUGACACUGUGAGGCCUGCUGCAGAGACUGAGCUGGUGCCCUGCAGCCUCAGACACCCACGGCAGGACCUGUGUGGAGAGCACCCAUCCUUCCCAGUCAUGCAGCCUAGCCUAGAGACACAAGCAAAGCCAGAACGAGACAGGGCAGUGCUCAUACCCCCCAAAGGACCAUGGCCCCCUGCACAGGGUCUAGCCAUGAGGACCCACUGCCCAACAGGUCCUCCUUCAAAAGCGUAUUGCAGAGGCGGCAGCAGCUCCACCAGCAGGAAUCAGGUUGCCAGCUUAGCCUAUCGAACACAAAACACUGCUGCUUCCCAGCCACGUCAACCAGGAGGAAGAGGGAAAGAGGAUACAGCUGGAUAUGGAAGCUGCAGCCCCAGAAGUUUGGCUGUGUGACUCUGAGCACUGUAUUUGGCCUCUGCCUCAGUGACUUUCUCAUCUGUACAAUGGACCAGU